rnacentral:rRNA from 1 species
GUGAGCAACCUGCCCUCCACUUCGGGAUAAGCCUUGGAAACGGGGUCUAAUACCGGAUAUGAGCUCGCAUCGCAUGGUGUGGGUUGGAAAGUUUUUCGGUGGGGGAUGGGCUCGCGGCCUAUCAGCUUGUUGGUGGGGUGAUGGCCUACCAAGGCGUCGACGGGUAGCCGGCCUGAGAGGGCGACCGGCCACACUGGGACUGAGACACGGCCCAGACUCCUACGGGAGGCAGCAGUGGGGAAUAUUGCACAAUGGGCGCAAGCCUGAUGCAGCGACGCCGCGUGAGGGAUGACGGCCUUCGGGUUGUAAACCUCUUUCAGCAGGGAAGAAGCGCAAGUGACGGUACCUGCAGAAGAAGCGCCGGCUAACUACGUGCCAGCAGCCGCGGUAAUACGUAGGGCGCAAGCGUUGUCCGGAAUUAUUGGGCGUAAAGAGCUCGUAGGCGGUCUGUCGCGUCUGGUGUGAAAUCCCGAGGCUCAACCUCGGGCUUGCAUCGGGUACGGGCAGACUAGAGUGCGGUAGGGGAGACUGGAAUUCCUGGUGUAGCGGUGGAAUGCGCAGAUAUCAGGAGGAACACCGAUGGCGAAGGCAGGUCUCUGGGCCGCAACUGACGCUGAGGAGCGAAAGCAUGGGGAGCGAACAGGAUUAGAUACCCUGGUAGUCCAUGCCGUAAACGUUGGGCACUAGGUGUGGGGCUCAUUCCACGAGUUCCGUGCCGCAGCUAACGCAUUAAGUGCCCCGCCUGGGGAGUACGGCCGCAAGGCUAAAACUCAAAGGAAUUGACGGGGGCCCGCACAAGCGGCGGAGCAUGCGGAUUAAUUCGAUGCAACGCGAAGAACCUUACCAAGGCUUGACAUGUACGAGAAAGCCCCCGAGACGGGGUUCUCUUUGGACACUCGUACACAGGUGGUGCAUGGUUGUCGUCAGCUCGUGUCGUGAGAUGUUGGGUUAAGUCCCGCAACGAGCGCAACCCUCGUCCUAUGUUGCCAGCGGGUUAUGCCGGGGACUCAUGGGAGACUGCCGGGGUCAACUCGGAGGAAGGUGGGGAUGACGUCAAAUCAUCAUGCCCCUUAUGUCUUGGGCUUCACGCAUGCUACAAUGGCCGGUACAGAGGGCUGCGAUACCGUAAGGUGGAGCGAAUCCCAAAAAGCCGGUCUCA